ensembl:lncRNA
UUUUUUUUUUUUUGAGAUGGAGUCUCGCUCUGUUGCCAGGCUGGAGUGCAGUGGCGCCAUAUCAGCUCACUGCAACCUCCACUUUCUGGAGUGCAGUGGCGCGAUCUCAGUUCACUGCAGCCUCCACCUCUUGGGCUCAAGCGAUCCUCCUGUGCACGUGGCCUUCUGAUCCUAUGGUUCACCUGUCUCCUAUGAAUGGAUGACUCUGACUGCCAAAGACACAUCAGGCAGCAGAGUUAGCCCAGUGUGUGUUCUGGGUAUGUUCGUGAGUAUGUGUGUGUAUGUGAGCCUGUGUAUGCCCGUGAUGCUGGUCAACUAGACUGUUAAUGCCUGCCAUGUGUACUUUUGCGUGUUUUUCUUUUUCUUUUUUUUUUUUUUGAGAUGGAGUCUUGCUCUGUUACCCAGGCUGGAGUGCAGUGGUGCGAUCUCAGCUCACUGCAACCUCUGCCUCUUGGGUUCAAGCAAUUCUCUACUUCAGCCUCCCAAGUAGCUGGGAUUACAGGUGCAUACCACCACGCCUGGCUAAUUUUUGUCUUUUUAGUAGCCACAGGGUUUCACCAUCUUGGCCAGGUUUGUCUUGAACUCCUGACCUCAUGAUCCACCCGCCUCGGCCUCCCAAAGUGCUGGGAUUGCAGGCAUGAGGCACCGCUCCUGACUUUUUACAUGUUUUCACACCCGCUACCCCCACACUGGGGGCACAGGGCCAGAGCACAGCCCCUAAACUCACCUGCUCCUCAUCCUACUCUUACAAAGCUGAGAAGGUGUACGAGUCAGAGCUGGUGGCACCGAGAGAAACUCACAUUUAAUGGCAUCCUAGCACUUAUUUCAUGCCGUCGCGGUGAUGUGUUUACACGUCUGCCUCCUCACCAGACUGUGAACUCCCACCCCGCCCCCCACCACACCCUCACCCUCCCCAGGCCAGAUGCUGCAUCUGAUUCAUCUCACAUCCCCAAGGCCUGGUGCUGUGCACAUAGUAGGUGCUCAAGGAACGUGCAUGGAAAGGAUGAGGAUGGAGGAUAUGAAGUUGAGUCAGUCAAAAUUCAUUUUGUUCAAAUCUUUCAUUCGUUUGUUGAGUCAUUCAGUCUGUUGAAACAAGCAAACACCUGUUGAAUGCUCUGAGCCAGGCACUGUGCAGAGUCUUGGUGGAAAUCCAAGAGGGCUGAGCUAUCAUUCAUUCACUCAUUUUCAUUCAUUCAUUCACUCAACAAAGAUGCAGUUAGGCCUGCUGUGUGCUGGGGUUCUGGAACAGAGCAAGUAAUCGGACUCAACCCCCACCCUUGAGGUGCUCACAGCCUAGACACGGAUCUGACCUUCACCACCAAAGGCUAGACGGGCAUGUCAGGAGGCCAAGGUGGCAGGGGCUGGGGAAACACUCUCAGACUUAGCCCUGGCUCUUGGAAAGCUUAAAGCCUGGGAGGAAGACAAGGGGGGAAAUGGAGGAAUCAAGUUUGUAUGUGUUAUGCAUCGAUUUGUUAAGCCCAUGGCAAAGGCAAGCAAAACUACUAACCCACUUGAUGCUUUUGCAUGGUGGAUGUUAAUUACUGAGCCAUCACAGCUGAGAAAGGAGAAGAUCAAGGAGGGGAAAUGACUUGUUCAUCUGUGCCACUAAGAAAACUCUGCCUGCUGUCUAAUUCUCUCUCUCUCUUUUUUUUUUUUUAAGGCAGGGUCUCACUCUGUCACCCAGGCUGCAGUGCAGUGGCAUGAUCAUAGCUCACUGCAGCCUCCACCUCCCAGGCUCAAGCGAUUCUUCUGCCUCAGCCUCCUGAGUAGCUGGGACUUCAGGUGCACGCCUCUGUGCCCAGCUGAUUUUUGUAUUUUUCAUAGAGACCAAGUUUUCCCAUGUUGCCCAGGUUGGUCUCGAACUCCUGGGCUCGAGCCAUCCUCCCGCCUUGGCCUCCCAAAGUGUUGGGAUUACAGGCAUAAGCCACCAUGCCUGGUCCAGUUCUCUACACUAAAAUUUCUCUGUUUAUCCGAAUGGUACAGUUUC